UACGGAGGGUGCGAGCGUUGUCCGGAAUCACUGGGCGUAAAGGGCGCGUAGGCGGCUCUGCACGUUCGUUGUGAAAUCGCCCGGCUCAACUGGGCGGGGUCAGCGGAUACGGCAGAGCUUGAGCAAGCUAGGGGGCAAUGGAAUUCCCGGUGUAGUGGUGGAAUGCGUAGAUAUCGGGAGGAACACCAGUGGCGAAGGCGGUUGCCUGGGGCUUUGCUGACGCUGAUGCGCGAAAGCGUGGGGAGCGAGUCCGG
rnacentral:rRNA from 1 species